AAAGUACACCAUUUGUCAUAGGAAACUACAAAUAUUUCUGUGUGAAUGUGCUUGUGUAUGUGUGGUUCAGGAUAUGUGUGUCCUACUGUAAAAUGGGACUCUUUUUUAAAAGAUUUUAUUUGUUUAUUCAGGAGGGACACACAGAGAGAGGCAGAGAUGUAAGCAGAGGGAGAAGCAGGCUCCCCCUUGAGCAAGGAGCCUGAUGCAGGACUUGAUCCCAGGACCCCAGGAUCAUGACCUGAGCCAAAGGCAAAUGCUCAACCACUGAGCCACCCAGGUGCACCUAAAAUGGGACUCUUCUUGCCUUAGUUUUGGUUGAAGCAUGAAGACAAUUCAUCCUGUACUCCAGAGGCACUCCUGUGCUGACAUUUCAAAGUCAAAAUAGCAGAACUGUGUAGGAGGCUCUGGAAGCCCUUACUUUCAUAGAGGAUGGAGAGAAGAGUGGAGUGGAGACUCAAAUGCGGAUUUGUCAAGAAAAUGUCUCUGGUAGAUGCUGGCUAUCUCACUUCUAACCCCUUCUAACGCAGGAGGGUUGAGUGCUCUCUCUUCCCCUCACGCCCAAAAAGAGGAGAUGUCUGUGAGAGGUUGGCACAUACCAUCCAUGGUUGGCAGGGCUCAGUGAACUGGCAUUUGUCCCUUUCCAGCAAAUCCAGAGGCUCUGCGAGGGGUCACUGAUCUGCUUUGGUGGUGGAGCAAGGUCGUGGGCACUCCUGCAUCAAGAUUGGCCUCUACUAGUGUUUGCUGGGACUAAGGAGGCAAAAGUGGUUCUGUGGAUGAGCUGGACGCUCAUGCAGAGGAGACAGCCAGCCUGGAGCUUUCUACAACUCUGUCUUCGAGAACCGUGAGCAGAGGCAGAGGAAUGACAAAAGAGGGUAGUCCAUAUGGAGUGGGCAGCCAAAAGAACAGUGCCAAGAGGAAGCCCACAAGUCGGAGGAAGGGGUCAGCACUUGCCGGCUCAUAUAAAUGCCUCAUGGAGAAGCCUCUGUAAAAUCUAAGGAAGCCAGCUUCAAGCGUCUGCAGGACCCCGUUGUGGCGCGAAUGAUUUUUCAAGUCCUGUUGCUCAAUUGUCACUCCUGGGGGACAGGACUCUACCUUAUGCAUCUUCGCCAACUCUGCUCUAUCUAGUGCCCUGCCUGGCCUGUGGUUCAUAAACACUGUCUGAAUGAACAAUAAGGGAAUGGAGUCACUAUGUUCAAUCAGUGUGACAACUCAUUCACACAUGGAGGUAACCAUGGCACCAGCUCUCACAGGGGCUGCAUCGACUUCACAGAGGGAGCUGCUGUGAAAGGGAAAGGAAUUGGCAGAGUGAUC
rnacentral:lncRNA from 1 species